AUACUAGAUGCAAAACUAGCUUCCCAGGCUUAGACUGCGUCUCGGGGUUGGAAUACUGUGUCCGACACUGGAACCCCGCCCUUACUCUGUUAUUCUGGUUCUCGCGUUCUGGACAGAGCCACCUACCCGCCCUUGCCAGACUCCCAGGCUUUACGUUGGAUUCUAUAUUUCCUACGACUUCACACUACAAACUGAGAUAUGAAGUUUGAACAUUUGGCAAAGUUGAAUAUUUAACAGCUGGUGGCGCUGGACUUGUGAAAGGGAGUGGAGGAUGCCCCGAGAGAGCAAAUUCUUGAGCAUACUGUUGACGUGGACGAGACCAGGUCAAGGGCUCCAAGGCCUUGGAACCAUGGGAUACUGGCAAAGCUGUAUCCACAUAUGGGCCAUGCUCAAGAUGGGUGGCAGAGCUCAACUCCAGAGUCCAAAACAAGUGAUCAGUGUGUGUAAAGACUAGCAGCUGCAGCUUCCUCUGAGAAGUUUGCAGCCCCAAACUAUUGGUCUACAGAGACCUCCUACUAAGACUAGUUAAACCUUGUCACUGUGCUAUGCCCAGUGAACACCUCAAAGUUCCCAGCUAUCGUGGGGAUCUAACCCCAGCUUUGCUGUAUGUGUGUCUGUCCUUUCUUCAUUUUCUCACUUGACAUAAUUUGGGUUCCACAACCCCUGCCUCAUGGGAUGCAGGGUAGAUGUAGCAGCAAUUGGCACUUGGGAGUCUGGGGCUCUGCUGCAUCAUACUCCCAAGGGUAACAGUACACGUGUUGAGUCCUAGCUUCCAUCCAUCCAUCUAUAAUCUUUGUGCCAGUCCUACUCAUUGAUACUCUUUUGUUUUGUUUUGAGCUAGGGUCUCACGUAGCUUAGGAUGACCACUAUGUAGCUCAGACAGGCCCUGAGCGGUUCACCUGGCUUCUCCUCUAUUUACCAAGUGCUAAGAUUACAAGUGCUUCCUGCUAUGUCAGGCUCCAUUGGCUGUCUUUGGGGUUUUGUUUUGUUGCCAGAGAUUGAACCUAGCACCUCCUAGGUGCUAGGCACAUACUGUACCCAUGAGCUAUACUCCCCAGAUAAGAUUCCAUUGAAGAUGAGGCUCAAAUUUUCAUCUACUGCUUAGGUGCUUCCUAUGGGCUAGGAGAUCUUACCUGGCAGGUAUCCCUUCGUCCCGCUGGAUAGCCAGCACACAACAUCCCUGGCAACAGCUGGAAAGUCAGGUUGAAAGGGCCAGGACGGCUGUAGAGACAUUGACAGGCAGCCUCUCCCAGCAACCUUAGCUCCACUUCCUGUAGAACCCAGGGCAGAGGCAGAGGGACUGAGGGCAGAACAGAUACUGUGAGUUAGGUAUGGAACACUCAUCUCUCCAGACCUUUGCUUUGUCCCUUUCAGUGGCCACCAACAUGCCUCUAUCGAGUCAAUGUAGCUCAGUUGGCAGGCUGCUUGCUAACAUACACAAAGGCUGUGCUCAGUCCCCAGGGCUGAAUAAACCAGGUGUGCUGGCACGUGCCUGUAAUCCCAGAACUUGGGAACUAGAGGUGAAGAAUCAGAAACUCAAGAUCAUCAUCAGCUACAUAGUAAGUUCAAUGCCAGCUUGGGCUAUGUGUGACCUUGUCUUGGGGGGGGUGGGGGAAAGAUGGCUCCCUAGCCUACCACUUCCAUCACACUAUCUGUUGCUUCUUUCUUUCUUUCUUUCUUUCUUUCUUUCUUUCUUUCUUUCUUUCUUUCUUUCUUUCUUUCCUUCCUUCCUUCCUUCCUUCCUUCCUUCUCUCUCUCUCUCUCUCUCUCUCUCUCUCUCUCUCUCUUUCUUUCUUUCUUUCUUUCUUUCUUUCUUUCUUUCUUUCAUUUUUUGAGACAGGGUUUCUCCAUGUAGCCCUGGCUGUCCUGGAGCUCACUCUGUAGACCAGGCUGGCCUAGAAUUCAGGAAUCCGCCUGCCUCUGCCUCCAAAGUACUGGGAUUAAAGGCGUGGGCCACCACUGCCUGGCCUGUUGUUCUUUCUUCUCUCUAAAUCCUAUUCUUAUAUUUGGCCCCUGUAAGCAUCCGGCAAGAGCUGUUACAGAUGCUAUAGGUUGUGAACUAUACAAGGUCCACAGACAAUAAUGUAUAUAUGUUAGCACUAAAAACCAUCAAACUGUCAA